UGGCGGACGGGUGAGUAACGCGUGGGUAACCUGCCUCAUACAGGGGGAUAACAGUUAGAAAUGACUGCUAAUACCGCAUAAGACCACGGUACCGCAUGGUACAGUGGUAAAAACUCCGGUGGUAUGAGAUGGACCCGCGUCUGAUUAGGUAGUUGGUGGGGUAACGGCCUACCAAGCCGACGAUCAGUAGCCGACCUGAGAGGGUGACCGGCCACAUUGGGACUGAGACACGGCCCAG
rnacentral:rRNA from 1 species